rnacentral:lncRNA from 1 species
AUCAAUCAACUCUUGAGUGAAAGAGACCAAAAUAAAAGUCAAUAUAAGACGUAAACACCCACAAAUGCAUCACAAAAUAGGGCUAAACAGGCUUCAUGAAAUUUAGCCCUAAAUUGAAUGGGCUUUUACAAUUUAGGAGUAAUUAGUAUUUUAAUUAGAGAAAAAAGUUAUAUAUAUAUAAAAAAAAACUAGGAUUCUCUACGCUCACGCACGCACGCACCCACCCAAGCUCUCCAUCUCCUCCUCUCCUGUCCUCUCCAUCUCUUGGCCUUGCCCUUCGCCAUCUCAGAUUCUCAGUUGAGGAGCAGACAGAC